rnacentral:rRNA from 1 species
CUACGGGGCGCUGCAGUGGGGAAUAUUGGACAAUGGGGGAAACCCUGAUCCAGCAAUGCCGCGUGUGUGAAGAAGGCCUGCGGGUUGUAAAGCACUUUCGGUUGGGAGGACUGCUUCUAGCACUAAUAUUGUUGGAAGUUGACGUUACCUUCAGAAGAAGCACCGGCUAACUCCGUGCCAGCAGCCGGGUAAUAGGGAGGGUGCAAGCGUUAAUCGGAAUUACUGGGCGUAAAGCGCGCGUAGGCGGCUAGAUCAGUCGGGUGUGAAAGCCCCGGGCUUAACCUGGGAACUGCAUCCGAUACUGUCUAGCUUGAGUACAGGAGAGGAGAGUGGAAUUCCACAUGUAGCGGUGAAAUGCGUAGAUAUGUGGAGGAACACCAAUGGCGAAGGCAGCUCUCUGGCCUGAUACUGACGCUGAGGUGCGAAAGCGUGGGGAGCAAACAGGAUUAGAUACCCGCGUAGUC